CGAACGAUGAUCCGGUGCUUGCACCGGGGAUUAGUGGCGAACGGGUGAGUAACACGUGAGUAACCUGCCCUUGACUCUGGGAUAAGCCUGGGAAACUGGGUCUAAUACCGGAUAUGACUCCUCAUCGCAUGGUGGGGGGUGGAAAGCUUUUGUGGUUUUGGAUGGACUCGCGGCCUAUCAGCUUGUUGGUGAGGUAAUGGCUCACCAAGGCGACGACGGGUAGCCGGCCUGAGAGGGUGACCGGCCACACUGGGACUGAGACACGGCCCAGACUCCUACGGGAGGCAGCAGUGGGGAAUAUUGCACAAUGGGCGCAAGCCUGAUGCAGCGACGCCGCGUGAGGGAUGACGGCCUUCGGGUUGUAAACCUCUUUCAGUAGGGAAGAAGCGAAAGUGACGGUACCUGCAGAAGAAGCGCCGGCUAACUACGUGCCAGCAGCCGCGGUAAUACGUAGGGCGCAAGCGUUAUCCGGAAUUAUUGGGCGUAAAGAGCUCGUAGGCGGUUUGUCGCGUCUGCCGUGAAAGUCCGGGGCUCAACUCCGGAUCUGCGGUGGGUACGGGCAGGCUAGAGUGAUGUAGGGGAGACUGGAAUUCCUGGUGUAGCGGUGAAAUGCGCAGAUAUCAGGAGGAACACCGAUGGCGAAGGCAGGUCUCUGGGCAUUAACUGACGCUGAGGAGCGAAAGCAUGGGGAGCGAACAGGAUUAGAUACCCUGGUAGUCCAUGCCGUAAACGUUGGGCACUAGGUGUGGGGGACAUUCCACGUUUUCCGCGCCGUAGCUAACGCAUUAAGUGCCCCGCCUGGGGAGUAC
rnacentral:rRNA from 1 species